UACGAAGGGGGCUAGCGUUGUUCGGAAUUACUGGGCGUAAAGCGCGCGCAGGCGGCUAUCCAAGUCAGUGGUGAAAGCCCGGAGCUCAACUCCGGAACUGCCAUUGAAACUGUUUAGCUUGAGGACGAGAGAGGUGAGUGGAAUUCCCAGUGUAGAGGUGAAAUUCGUAGAUAUUGGGAAGAACACCGGUGGCGAAGGCGGCUCACUGGCUCGUUUCUGACGCUCAGGCGCGAUAGCGUGGGGGAUCAAACAGG
rnacentral:rRNA from 1 species